GACGAACGCUGGCGGCGUGCUUAACACAUGCAAGUCGAACGGAAAGGCCCUGCUUUUGCGGGGUGCUCGAGUGGCGAACGGGUGAGUAACACGUGAGUAACCUGCCCUUGACUUUGGGAUAACUUCAGGAAACUGGGGCUAAUACCGGAUAGGAGCUCCUGCUGCAUGGUGGGGGUUGGAAAGUUUCGGCGGUUGGGGAUGGACUCGCGGCUUAUCAGCUUGUUGGUGGGGUAGUGGCUUACCAAGGCUUUGACGGGUAGCCGGCCUGAGAGGGUGACCGGCCACAUUGGGACUGAGAUACGGGCCAGACUCCUACGGGAGGCAGCAGUGGGGAAUAUUGCACACUGGGCGGAAGCCUGAUGCAGCAACGCCGCGUGCGGGAUGACGGCCUUCGGGUUGUAAACCGCUUUCGCCUGUGACGAAGCGUGAGUGACGGUAAUGGGUAGAGAAGCACCGGCUAACUACGUG
rnacentral:rRNA from 1 species